rnacentral:rRNA from 1 species
GACAGAGGGUGCAAACGUUGUUCGGAAUUACUGGGCGUAAAGCGAGUGUAGGCGGUCUGCUAAGUCGGGUGUGAAAGCCUCGGGCUCAACCCGGGAAGUGCACUCGAAACUGGCAGGCUAGAGUAUCGGAGAGGUUGGUGGAAUUCUCGGUGUAGAGGUGAAAUUCGUAGAUAUCGAGAGGAACACCGGUGGCGAAGGCGGCCAACUGGACGAAUACUGACGCUGAGACUCGAAAGCGUGGGGAGCAAACAGG